AUCGAACGCUGGCGGCAGGCUUAACACAUGCAAGUCGAGCGGAGAGAGGUAGCUUGCUACUGAUCUUAGCGGCGGACGGGUGAGUAAUGCUUAGGAAUCAGCCUAUUAGUGGGGGACAACAUUUCGAAAGGAAUGCUAAUACCGCAUACGUCCUACGGGAGAAAGCAGGGGAUCUUCGGACCUUGCGCUAAUAGAUGAGCCUAAGUCGGAUUAGCUAGUUGGUGGGGUAAAGGCCUACCAAGGCGACGAUCUGUAGCGGGUCUGAGAGGAUGAUCCGCCACACUGGGACUUAGACACGGCCCAGACUCCUACGGGAGGCAGCAGUGGGGAAUAUUGGACAAUGGGCGCAAGCCUGAUCCAGCCAUGCCGCGUGUGUGAAGAAGGCCUUAUGGUUGUAAAGCACUUUAAGCGAGGAGGAGGCUACUUUAGUUAAUACCUAGAGAUAGUGGACGUUACUCGCAGAAUAAGCACCGGCUAACUCUGUGCCAGCAGCCGCGGUAAUAC
rnacentral:rRNA from 1 species